rnacentral:rRNA from 1 species
CCUACGGGGGCAGCAGUGGGGGAGAGUGCACAAGGGGGGAAACCCCGAGGCAGUGACGCCGCGUGUGGGAAGACGGUCCUCUGGAUUGUAAACCACUGUCCCCAGGGACGAAAAUGACGGUACCUGGGGAGGAAGCUCCGGCUAACUACGUGCCAGCAGCCGCGGUAAUACGUAGGGAGCGAGCGUUGUCCGGAAUUACUGGGUGUAAAGGGAGCGUAGGCGGGGAUGCAAGUUGGGUGUCAAAACUACCGGCUCAACUGGUAGUCGCACUCAAAACUGCAGCUCUUGAGUGAAGUAGAGGCAGGCGGAAUUCCUAGUGUAGCGGUGAAAUGCGUAGAUAUUAGGAGGAACACCAGUGGCGAAGGCGGCCUGCUGGGCUUUUACUGACGCUGAGGCUCGAAAGUGUGGGGAGCAAACAGGAUUAGAUACCCUUGUAGUC